CAUAUCCAAACACGCUUUCACUCUCAGAAACCAGCCCGUCACCAACCUCCCCACCGCUCCCGCGCAGUUGCUGCCUUUUUCUCCCCGCCGUCCACCAUUCGAUACUCACCAGCUCUGUCUCUCGACCUCGUGUCCUCCCUCCCUCCCUUUCGCCCCCACCCCCAGCGCGAGGACUCUGCACGUCCUGCUCUUCCCCGCCCCUUCCCGUUGAAUCCGGUCGCCCAAGUGCUCAAGGAAGCGCUCGAACUCGUCAUGCCCACGGGCGAGCCAGCGCUAGGCGCCGCCAGAGGCGGAUGAGGAGGCGCGGGGCACGUCGGAGGACUCCACAGCUCCGGCCACACAAAAUACAAGGUUGUGUACCACGAUUGCUUACUUCAGACUUGAAGCAAUUCUAAACAUGGCUUUGUGAAGCAUAGUUCGUGAUCACAGACAGAAAUCUGUUUGAGUCUUCAGAUGAGCUGCAGGAUAGUAUUGUGGUUAUUCAGCAGAGCAGUUGUGAUAGAUUUUUUCCUGAAUUGCUCUGGGAUGUGUUUACAAGGUUGUAGGAAGAUGACAUCAAUUGGCCAUCCCGCAAGGAUAUAGUUAGGAAUCCAGGAUUUUGUGGAAAGCUCACGUUACCUGUAUGUCUUAAUCAGUGCCGAUUCUCUGAAGAAACCUGAAGAAAUAUGUGGAGUUGCUCGACGCCUCGUCCGGCGUUCGGCGUUCGGCGUCCGGCCAGUGCCGGUGUCGUCAGUGGCGUCGACUUCCCGGCCACGGAAUGCAGUUCGGCCUAGAGUCCCCGGACGCCCGGUGUGCAGGCGGCCUCGAUUCCGUGUCGUGGAGGGCUGAGGGCGUCAGCGUGGAGGCGAUAGGGCAGCAGAUCGACGACGGCGAGGACUGCGGUGGUGUUUGAACUGCGUCAUGGACGGCGAGAAAGAGUGCUGAGCGGUAGGGGAGUGCGUCGUGGUAAACAGUUGGUUUUUUGUUUGCGUUCGUGGGGAUAAAUUGGUUAGCCAUUGGAGCGGACGUCUGGUUCCUUCAAACACGGGAGAGUUUUGAGGCGUUGGAUAUUUUGAUUGAAGGGCUAAGAUUGGUUGGAUCAGACCCUCUGGGUCUUUUAUUAGUAGUAAGAGUGAGUUCACUGUAUAUUUAGCUUGAGUUUCAUGAAAUCCUGUUAGGCCAGCACCUCGUUGGUGAGGAUUAGGCCUCAUAGAUUUGCUCCCUACAUUAGUGUCAGAAUAUUCCUAGAACGCCUCAAUCUUUCUAACUAAGGUGGGAGAUUCUUGCAUAGUUGCAUAUGAUACCUGAUGCUUCAUCU